AGCGAAUAGAUACCCGGGUAGUCCACGCCGUAAACGAUGGAAGCUAGCCGUUGGUAAGCAUGCUUAUCAGUGGCGCAGCUAACGCAUUAAGCUUCCCGCCUGGGGGGUACGGUCGCAAGAUUAAAGCUCAAAGGAAUUGACGGGGGCCCGCACAAGCGGUGGAGCAUGUGGUUCAAUUCGACGCAACGCGAAGAACCUUACCAGCCCUUGACAUGUCCAGGACCGGUCGCAGAGACGCGACCUUCUCUUCGGAGCUUGGAACACAGGUGCUGCAUGGCUGUCGUCAGCUCGUGUCGUGAGAUGUUGGGUUUAAGUCCCGCAACGAGCGCAACCCUCGUCCUUAGUUGCCAUCAUUUAGUUGGGCACUCUAAGGAGACUGCCGGUGAUAAGCCGCGAGGAAGGUGGGGAUGACGUCAAGUCCUCAUGGCCCUUACGGGCUGGGCUACACACGUGCUACAAUGGCGGUGACAAUGGGCAGCGAACCAGCAAUGGGGGAGCUAAUCUCAAAAAGCCGUCUCAGUUC
rnacentral:rRNA from 1 species